rnacentral:rRNA from 1 species
MYSSCGACGCUCUUCCGWYYYACCAAGAAUGCAUAUAUAAAUAAGCAUAAGCACUAUAUAUCUGAUAGAAACAUCUUUAAUUUUAGUAAAGGUGAUUAAAUCUUAAUUUAAAUUAUUAUAAGUAAAGUACUGUGAAGGAACACUUAUUAAUUGAUUAUUAGUAGAGAUAUUUUCUCGUACCUUUUGUAUAAUGGCUUAGCUAGAUAUUUUUCUAAAUAGAAGUUCUAGAAAGUUAAUGAGCGACUCUAUUUUUUUCUGUAGGAAAUGAGGAGUAGGUGUGGCAAAACCUUUCCAAAAACUUAGAGUAGAAAUGAAAUUUUAUUCGCAUUAAUUGAUAGCUAGUUUCCCCCUAAAGGCAUAGAAGUGCUCCUAAUUUUAUAAAAUAAUAUUGAUAAUAUUAGAUUGAAUUAUUUUAGAAUUAUACUAUUUUUCUGAGGAUUAGCUCGGAAAAUAUUUAACUAAAUGUUACAUAAAUAACCUUAAAUUAAAUUUAAGCUUGAAAGUAGCUUGUAUUUUGAGUUUGUUAUAAAUCAUUAAUAGAAUUAAAGGGAUAAUUAAUUUGUAGUAAUUUAAGGGGGAAAAUCUUAAAAAUUAUAAUAAGAUAUUUUAAUGCUGAGAUGAGUAUUAAUAAAUAUAAUCUUAAGCUAAAUGAUAUAAAAGCUAGUACUAGAAAGAUUAUAAGUAGGUAAAAUCUAUGAAAGGAACUCGGCAAAUUAAAUUUGCUCCGCCUGUUUAUCAAAAACAUGGCUCUAUGAUUCAAAUAAAUAUAGAGUCGGACCUGCCCAGUGAACAUUUUUUAACGGCCGCGGUACUCUGACCGUGCAAAGGUAGCAUAAUCAUUUGCCCUAUAAUUGAGGGCUAGUAUGAAUGGUUUGACGUGAGCAAAGCUGUCUCUCAUAGAAUAAUUAGAAUUUAACUUAUAGGUGAAGAUGCCUAUAUAACAUUGAUAGACAAGAAGACCCUAUCGAGCUUUAAAAAAAUAUUUGGAACAAAAUUGCCCUUUUGCGGACAUUUAACUAAAUUAAAUUUUGGUUGGGGCGACUGAGGAACAAAUAAAGCUUCCUUUAAUUUAUAUAUACUUUUCUAGUAAUGAUCCAGUUCUUACUGAUUAAAGAAAUUAGUUACCGUAGGGAUAACAGCAUAAUCUUUUUUGAGAGCUCAUAUCGAAAAAAAGGUUUGUGACCUCGAUGUUGGACUAGAGUUUCCUGAAGAUGUAGAAGUCUUCAAGGGUUGGUCUGUUCGACCAUUAAAACUCUACAUGAUCUGAGUUCAGACCGGCGUGAGCCAGGUCAGUUUCUAUCUUCAAUUAAUUAAUUUUAAACUUAGUACGAAAGGACCAGUUUAAAAAAAUUAUUUUUUAUAAUGAUAUAAUAUAAUAGCAAAAUAAAUU